UAAGUGGAGCAUAGGAUCGCCAGCUUUGAGAUUGGCCUAUAUGCUGGCUAUACUCAUCGGCUGUUCCCACGUCCUAAGAGACUGCUGCUUUGUCUCCUUUUAGUGUUUGUCUUGUCAUUAUUACUCUAGUAAUGUCAUGUCCAAUUAUUAGGAUAUUUGUUUAGUCUGUGAUCUUUCUAGCCACUGGCUCUGGCUGGUGCUAGGACUUGUUUUGUUUGUUCCAAUGCAUGCUUGGGCUAUGCAGUGCUGUGUCGCUGUUUCUCUGGCCUAACCUGCAUGCACUUUGUACUUUUAUUUGUUGGUUGUGGGAUAAACCCCGUUCUGCCUGUGUUGCUACUCUGCUUGUUGUGCAUGUGUGUGUGUGUGUGUGUGUGUGUGUAUGCAUGCUGGUUUAUAAUCCCAAUGCUGUGACCAAGAUUGCUGUUCUUCCCCGGCUUGGGAUAACCCCCAGUCUGUCUGUGUGGCUACCCUGCUUGCUGUGCAUGUUGGUGGGUGUGUAUGCAUGCCGGUUUACAAUCCCAAUGCUGUGACCAGGGUGGCUGUCCCAUUUGACCAUUGAUCUGGAGCACCAAACCUGCUGCUUAAGAUAAGUAGCCAUUUGUAGUACUGCUAGCAUACCUGGCUUGUAAGAUCGACCACUCUGUUAAUCAGUGCUUGUGUCUCCUUUUCCCCUCUGUCAGACAGGAGCAGUGUGGCCCACGUGAGCGGAGGACUGAGUUUGUGGUGGAGGCCUUCACUUUCCCUUGCUGUGUGCACAUUGAGGUGUCUUUUGCUUGGAUUGCAGUGUUUCUCUCACGCAUGGUGUAUUUUCUGGACCCCCUGCCCUCUGUCCUGCAGUAGUCCGGCUCGCUGUGGGCCAGACAAGCGACCAAGGGACUGGUACAUCUCCAGACGGCCGACGACCGAGCGUGGACCUGGACUGUGCAUUUGCGUUUCUUUUCCUGGUCGGCGAGAGAAAGCCGACCAGGACGGACUCUUUUAUAUCAUCAUGGACCUGGGACUGGUUGCACUGGUCGUGCUGCCUUUGGCUUGGACUGGGGACUUGUGGGGGGAUGCCUUUUGUGUGAGCUUGACUUGCCGUGUUGCUGUGCUCUUGAUAUGUCUGUGUGAGCUUGACUUGCCGUGUUGCUGUGCUCUUGAUAUGUCUGUGUGAGCUUGACUUGCCGUGUUGCUGUGCUCUUGAUAUGUCUGUGUGAGCUUGACUUGCCGUGUUGCUGUGCUCUUGAUAUGUCCUUACAUGAACUGAUGUUUUCCACAUUGAGUUGAUUGAUGUGUCACUGGGUUAUUGGGUAGCAUUCUCACCAUUAGCUCCCACAAAGUCAUUAGUAGAGUGCUGUGCUGCCUUGCCUGCCACCUUGGUCAAGAGUUUUGUGCUAAUAAACCUGUUUACCAACAUAUCUGUUUGUUGUGGUGCAAAUUGGGAGGACUAACCAAGGCGGG